UAUUAGGUUGGUGCAAAAGUAAUUGUGCUUUUUGCCAUUUAAAAUAAUGGCAAAAUCACAAUUACUUUUGCACCAACCUAAUA
rfam:Chlorocebus sabaeus isolate 1994-021 chromosome 7, whole genome shotgun sequence.